UACGUAGGGUCCAAGCGUUAUCCGGAAUCACUGGGCGUAAAGCGUGCGUAGGUGGAUGUUUAAGUGUGAUGUUAAAUCGUGGGGCUCAACCCUGUCGAUGCAUUGCAUACUGGACGUCUAGAGGACAGCAGAGGCAAGUGGAAUUUGUAGUGUAGCAGUGAAAUGCGUAGAUAUUACAAGGAACACCAAUGGCGAAGGCAGCUUGCUGGGCUAACUCCUGACACUGAGGUACGAAAGCCGUGGGGAGCGAACAGG
rnacentral:rRNA from 1 species